rnacentral:rRNA from 1 species
UCUUGGUCAUUUAGAGGAAGUAAAAGUCGUAACAAGGUUUCCGUAGGUGAACCUGCGGAAGGAUCAUUAAACGAAUGAACAUGUUCCUGAGCAUGAAUUUCAAAACCCAUCUGUGUACCUAACCUGUUGCUUCCGCGCUGCGCGUGCUGGAAAGCGUGCCUCCCCGACUGUCUCACCAGGUGUGGUGGGGCUCCCGGAGCGUCGGCGCGGAAGGAUCUACCACAAACUCUUUCGUUUCCAUGUUUUUUUCUGUCUGAAAUGUCAUACAAAAUAGUUAAAACUUUCAACAACGGAUCUCUUGGUUCUCGCAUCGAUGAAGAACGCAGCGAAAUGCGAUAAGUAGUGUGAAUUGCAGAAUUCCGUGAAUCAUCGAAUCUUUGAACGCACAUUGCGCCUCCUGGUAUUCCGGGAGGCAUGCCUGUUCGAGCGUCAUUAAAAUCAAAUCAAGCAUCCGUGCUUGGUCAUGGAGGAAGAGUCCACCCUGUGGUCUCCCCACUGAAAUCGAAAGGCGGAAAGACUCCGGUACACGGUGUAGUACUAACGUUCGCUUCGCAUCUGGAGUCGUACCUGCCGGCAA